rnacentral:tRNA from 1 species
GGCGAGAUGGCCGAGCGAUCUGAGGCGCUCGUUUUAGGCACCAGUCUCUUUGGGACGCGGGUCCAAAUCCCUCUCUCGUCA